rnacentral:rRNA from 1 species
GUGAGGAAUAUUGGUCAAUGGGCGAGAGCCUGAACCAGCCAAGUCGCGUGAAGGAAGAAGGAUCUAUGGUUCGUAAACUUCUUUUGCAGGGGAAUAAAGUGCAGGACGUGUCCUGUUUUGUAUGUACCCUGAGAAUAAGGAUCGGCUAACUCCGUGCCAGCAGCCGCGGUAAUACGGAGGAUCCGAGCGUUAUCCGGAUUUAUUGGGUUUAAAGGGUGCGUAGGUGGUUUGAUAAGUCAGCGGUGAAAGUUUACAGCUUAACUGUAAAAAUGCCGUUGAAACUGUCGGACUUGAGUGUAAAUGAGGUAGGCGGAAUGCGUGGUGUAGCGGUGAAAUGCAUAGAUAUCACGCAGAACUCCGAUUGCGAAGGCAGCUUACUAAGCUACAACUGACACUGAAGCACGAAAGCGUGGGGAUCAAACAGGAUUAGAUACCCUUGUAGUCC